AGCUGCACUCUGCGGAUGUUGGGUCACUGGGAGGAAGGGCGGCCUCCUUCCCCACUGCACUGCUCCCAUGCGUGGGACUGUUUGGAAGUUCCCAGCGGACCCUCUGCUCUCACAUGUGCCACACAGCCGUGCUGCUCCAGUAACAGCACCGGUGCAUCACUCCCCUUGGAUAGAAUGUCCAGAGAUGUGGCAAUUAUAAAUGGGGUUUAAAUCAGCAUCUAAGUGGAAAAGAAUGCCAGGAUUCUGUGAUUAUCCCAAACCAAACAGAGAAAAAUUAAAAGAAAUGCUGAUGUAUAAAGGUCUAAAAAAGUGCUGGUUCAAAAAGCUUCAGAAUUCUGGUAGGUAGUUGAAACAAAGUUUAAACAAACCUAAAACCAGAGACACUUCAGUGCUACAGUUAGCUCGUUACCACACCACCAUCACCGGGUCCUGGGUUUGGCCUAAACAGGGCUGCUGAUUUUCACUGUGGUAUAAACGCAUCCCGGCCCUUCGGUGCUUUAUCCCUGCACUGACCGAGCCAUUGAGGUCAGCUGGUGCAAACACCUGUCUCUGUCAUUAAUUUUAAGAUAUGGAAUGGUUACAAUCACCUAAAUCCACAGUGAUGAAAGCCUGUUUGUCUCAAAGCUGUUUCUGUUAUUCUUAUAUCACCUACAACUUCAACAGCAACAAAAAGAGGCUGCCACGGUGAGCUUUGUUUUAAUAGCCCCGAUUCCAUGUAUGCAUUCAAUUUCUACAUUUCAGAUCUUGUUAUCUGAAGUGAGAGUGGAAGCUUGUAUUGACGCUCCCAAGGAGUGGGAUUGGUGGCCAUUACAAGUGUUCCUGAUUGCAGAAAAUCCAGCAGUAGAGCCCAGAUGGACACGUUUGGGCCUCAUCCCUCUAUGAAGGCAGAGGUUCGGGGACAGGACACAGCGUGGGACUUGACGCACAGCAAAGAAAUUGGGAAGAACCAGAGGACCUUGGGCCUGCAGAAGUUUGGCACCGCUUUCUUUAGUGUGGUCAUUAUACAACGUGCAAAGAUAGACACCCUGAGUUAUUGUCACGGCUUUCUUCCCAUGGGUGAGUCGGUGUUAGCAACUGCAAGGCUGAAACGUGCGGAAACCUGAGCUGUAGAGCAAUGCAGGUUAAAAGUUCAGCUUUCCACCUUUAUGAUGGCAGGUCUCACUCUCUCACUGAGAAUGCCUCAUUUGUAUUUACUUUUUAGGGUCAUUAUCUGUCCCACGAGAGUCUUUGUGAAGGUCCAAAUUUUCAAAUAAACAGUACACU
rnacentral:lncRNA from 1 species